UACAGAGGUCCCAAGCGUUGUUCGGAUUCACGUUGGGACGUAAAGGGUGCGAUGAGGUGGCUUGGUAAGUUUGAUGAUGAAAUGCUCCGGGACUUAACCCGGAAAUGGCAUUGAAUACUAUUGAGCUGGAGGUUUGGAGGGGGGACUGGAAUUCGUCGGUGUAGCAGGUGAAAUGCGUAGAUAAUCGAGAGGAACACCAGUGGCGAAGGCAGGUCUCUGGGCCACUACUGA
rnacentral:rRNA from 1 species